rnacentral:rRNA from 1 species
UACGUAGGGUGCAGGCGUUAAUCGGAAUUACUGGGCGUAAAGCGUGCGCAGGCGGCUCCUUAAGUCAGAUGUGAAAGCCCCGGGCUUAACCUGGGAACUGCGUUUGAAACUGGGGAGCUAGAGUGUAGAAGAGGGGGGUGGAAUUCCAGGUGUAGCAGUGAAAUGCGUAGAGAUCUGGAGGAACACCGAUGGCGAAGGCAGCCCCCUGGGCUAACACUGACGCUCAUGCACGAAAGCGUGGGGAGCAAACAGGAUUAGAUACCCUGGUAGUCCACGCCCUAAACGAUGUCAACUGGUUGUCGGGGAAGUAAUUCCUUGGUAACGAAGCUAACGCGUGAAGUUGACCGCCUGGGGAGUACGGCCGCAAGGCUAAA